UACAGAGGUCUCAAGCGUUGUUCGGAUUCAUUGGGCGUAAAGGGUGCGUAGGCGGCGCGGUAAGUCGGGUGUGAAAUCUCGGAGCUUAACUCCGAAACUGCAUUCGAUACUGCCGUGCUUGAGGACUGGAGAGGAGACUGGAAUUUACGGUGUAGCGGUGAAAUGCGUAGAUAUCGUAAGGAAGACCAGUGGCGAAGGCGGCCAUCUGGACCAGCACUGACGCUGAGGAGCGAAAGCGUGGGGGAGCGAACAGG
rnacentral:rRNA from 1 species